rnacentral:sRNA from 1 species
UGUGGGAUGCCGAAGUCGGGUCCCCUAAUCACUCGCUGAGAAACCAGGAGAACAUCAUGAGC